rnacentral:rRNA from 1 species
AGUGAACGCUGGCGGUAGGCCUAACACAUGCAAGUCGAACGGCAGCACAGUAAGAGCUUGCUCUUACGGGUGGCGAGUGGCGGACGGGUGAGGAAUACAUCGGAAUCUACUUUUUCGUGGGGGAUAACGUAGGGAAACUUACGCUAAUACCGCAUACGACCUACGGGUGAAAGCAGGGGAUCUUCGGACCUUGCGCGAUUGAAUGAGCCGAUGUCGGAUUAGCUAGUUGGCGGGGUAAAGGCCCACCAAGGCGACGAUCCGUAGCUGGUCUGAGAGGAUGAUCAGCCACACUGGAACUGAGACACGGUCCAGACUCCUACGGGAGGCAGCAGUGGGGAAUAUUGGACAAUGGGCGCAAGCCCGAUCCAGCUAUACCGCGUGGGUGAAGAAGGCCUUCGGGUUGUAAAGCCCUUUUGUUGGGAAAGAAAAGCAGCAGGUUAAUACCCCGCUGUUCUGACGGUACCCAAAGAAUAAGCACCGGCUAACUUCGUG